CGAAUACUGGGGCCAGGGGACCCUGGUCACUGUCUCCUCAGCCUCCACCAAGGCCCCGUCGGUCUUCCCGCUGGCCCCCAGCUGUAAAGACACACCCGGCUCCACAGUGUCCCUGGCCUGCCUUGUCUCUGGCUACUUCCCUGAGCCAGUGACUGUGUCCUGGAACUCCGGCGCCCUGACCAGCGGUGUGCACACCUUCCCAUCCGUCCUGCAGUCCUCCGGGCUCUACUCUCUGAGCAGCAUGGCGACAGUACCCACCAGCAGCUGGUCCAGCCAGACCUACACCUGCAAUGUAGCCCACCCGGCCAGCAGCACCAAGGUGGACAAGACCGUGCCCAAAGGGAACAGACCCGAAAAACCUUGCAAAUGCCCAGCUUGUCCAAACCUGGGAGGGCCCUCGGUCUUCAUCUUUCCCCCACACCCCAAGGACACCCUCAUGAUCGCCCGGACUCCCAAGGUCACGUGUAUGGUGGUUGACGUGGCCACAGAAGACCUCGAAGUUGAGUUCACCUGGUUCGUGGACGACGUAAAGAUGGACACGGUGAAAACGAAGGCCCAGGAAGAGCAGUUCAACAGCACGUACCGCGUGGCCAAUUCCUUCACCGUCUCGCACCAGGACUGGCUGAAGGGCAAGGAGUAUAAGUGCAAGGUCAACAACAAGGCCCUGCCGGCCCCCAUCGAGAGGACCAUCUCCAAGGCCAAAGGGCAAGUCCGGGAGCCACAGGUGUACACCCUGCCCCCACACCCAGACGAGCUGACCAAGGACACAGUCAGCGUGACCUGCCUGGUCAAAGACUUCUACCCAGCGGACAUCAGUGUGGAGUGGCAGAGCAGCGGGCAGCCAGAGCCGGAAAACAAGUACAUCGAGACCCCGCCCCAGGAGGACGAGAACAACUCCUACUUCCUGUACAGCAAGCUCACUGUGGACAAGAACAGGUGGCAGCAGGGGGUGGUUUUCACGUGCGCGGUGAUGCACGAGGGCCUGCACAAUCACUACACCCAGAAGACCGUCUCCCAAAACCCGGAGCUGCUCCUGGAUGAGAACUGUUCAGAGGCCCAGGUCGGGGAGCUGGACGGGCUGUGGACCACCAUCUCCAUCUUCAUCACCCUCUUCCUGCUCAGCGUGUGCUACAGUGCCACCGUCACCCUCUUCAAGGUGAAGUGGAUCUUCUCCUCGGUGGUGGAGCUGAAGAGAACCAUCGUCCCUGACUACAGGAACAUGAUCGGACAGGGGGCUUAGCACCACCCCUCCUGGGCAAGCAUCCAGGGCUGCCCCAGACCUCGCACAGGACCAGGUCCGCUGGUUCAUGCUGCUCGACCUGCUGCCCAUGCCUGCUCCUCCUCCUUCUGACCUCAGUGCCCUCUGACCUCUCUACCCUCUGACCCCACGGCCACCCUAGGCUUGCACCUCCACCCUCUGGCCUCACAACUAUCACAGGUUGCAUCUGCCCUGUGACCCACCCCUCUGGAGAACCAAGUGGAGAGCAGGUCCCAUCCCAACCUGAGCUGAAGGACACCCACCAGCCCCUCCAUGGCAGCCGCCAAGACACCACCAAGAGCCCUGUGGACACCAGGGGCAUCAGGGCCAGUGCCCUCUCCCAGGUUGUCACUGCCUAGGGUCAGUGUGUAGGUCCAUCCUGAAGGAGACAGAGGCCCUGAAUUCCAAGGGUCCAUCAGGCAGGAUCCAGGAGGCAAGGUUCCUGGGAAAAUUCUGAGUACCCCACCAGGGAAGCUUUGGGAUGCGCCCUAAUGGUCACUCAGAUCGCCUCUACCAGAGGAGACCUGAGGAGGAGGGUCUGGACCAGGGCUGCAGGGCGGUACCACCUCGGAGGGGUGGGUAUCCAGCCACAAGUCUCCUGGGGAGGGGCUUAGUUACCAGAUCACCAAGCAGGGGGGACCCAGCCUCAGUGGACAGAGGAGGUCAAGAGACAUGGGUGUUGAGGUGCAGAGCACCAGAGAGCAGUGAAACAAUGGGCCUGAGUCCCACCCACUCACCCUUCCCAGGGUCCCCCUGCUCCGGUUGCGGGGGGCUAAGAGCCAAGAGAACCGAAUGGUGCAUGCCCCCUGCCUUGGGGACCCAACAGGGUGGUUGGAUGUCCUGAUCUUCAGGGAGUGCCAAGUCAGCAUGUCUAGAUGGGAAGGAGGGAGACGCAGACCCCAUGACCACAGGGGACGCACAGAGAGAGACUACUCAACUCUUUUCUUUUUAAUUUUCUGGAGCCCACUGAUGUU